GGUGGCUCUUACGUGGAAAUGAUCUGCAGAUUCCACUUUGUCUCAGCACGGCUAUAACCUAUCUGUCUGUGUCUUGGGUGAAGAAAUAGCCUGAACUGUGAGCACACACAGCUGGCCGAUAACUGGGCCUGUAUGUGAGUGUCUGAAACUGAACUUUUGAACUCCGCAGCAGCAGCCUGCUGCUUGCUGGCUGCAGUUGGUAUUGUUCGGUUGUAAAUUCUGAUAGUAUGUGGGCUAAAAUGUAGUGGCACAUCCCAGAUUCUCCAGUUAACAACCUGAACCCUACAAUUAAUAAGCAGGCCUGAAAAAGAACGAGGAGGCUGAUCAGAUGUCGUGCUUCUGCCUUAGACUGUGUCCUAGUUUGGACUGGGAGAAGCACAGGCUUUGGUGCAGGAAAGAAGAGGAAGCCAGAAAGGUGGCAAUCCAAAAAGAAGAAGUGAUCUUGAAAAGAAGAUUACAUGAAAAGAGAGUGGUGGAGAUUCUGGCUGGAGCACAGAUCCUGGACACGUGCGCAGAUCCUGGAAAUCACUGAGCUGUGUGGAGACAAACGCGUGGGGAUGUGCAGGGACCCUGGCCAGUCCUGCCUGAGGCUGGUGUCUGCAAACAGCUGCGUAGCAAGAACUGAAAGAACUUUCUGCCUACCUCGCUCAGGCUAGCGAUGAUCUUCUCUGAGAAGUGGAAGUCAGGCCUUAGUGAACCUAUAAAGCUCAGAAGAGAGCAAGUGAAUGCAGGAGAUUUCAUCGGAGGAUUUCAAAAUCUUUGCAGAAAUGGGCUUGCCACAUGUUUUCCCCCCUCCCCUCUCCACUGAAAAAGAGUGGCGAGAUGAAGUUCACUGGAUUGCCCACAUUUCUGCAGUCAGCCAGUGAGAAGAACAGAAAGGGCACAUUGGGGACAUUUUGGAAGUUUAGUUGGAGCUGCUGAUGCAUAAGGAAUACAAACCUGUGCCUUUGGAUGUGGUUCACUGCCACUCGGAGCAGGUGUUAACGGCCUGAAAAUGGACAGAUCAUUUAGAAGACUGAUCACCACUUGGAAGGACCUGUGAUAUCGGGUCUGUGUUCUUAUUCUGCACUCUGGAAUGGGGCCCUGCUCCCUCAUCCUGGCUCUCUGGUGAGUCUCCCUACCCCAGGCAAGAAAAGGAGGAUACUGCCGAGAGAAAGCACCUUGAAGAUAAUUCCCUUUCAUCUAUAGCUGCAGUGUUUGGCCGUUCUAAGGUUUGCAGAGCUAUAAAGCAUUUGAUAAUCCCAAGGGUGGGGGAGAAACUGAAGGGCAUCGCUUGAGUUCGAUGAAGCACUGAGGAGAAAGAACAGUGAAACAAAGAUUAUUUAUAGAGGAUGCUUGCCAAAUAAGAGCCCAAGCUUGUAAUUACAUCUUUAUACACUAUGGCCAUGUUUAAUAAAGAUCUUAAAUGCAGUA